AUAUCCUGGCAGGCGCUUGCAAAUGGGAGGAGUCUUCUUGAAGCGGACAGAGAGUCAGGCUCUCUUGUUGCAGGGCGGCUUGGGCCUUGGAGUGGAUUUGGUGGUAGGAGUGGAAGGCUUACGAAAGGACUUAUAUGGCUGGUAUCUAUUCCUCUGUUGAGCUUGGUGACGAAAAGGAUGAAAGCUCUGGCCUCAGAAUGACAAUCAAGGCAGAGGGUCGUCCGAUGUCGCUAUCACCCGCGGUUGGGAGGACCGUCGGCGGCUGAUUUACAGCAGCGGCCCUGCUGCUGUGGAAGGGGGACUCGGUGGCACGAGCCAUGAGCACAAUUUAUCCUAACAGCUUGGAGUUGAUUCAUUCACCGGAGAGAGACAGGCUGUUCAUUUUCCAACAAUUAUCCAUGGAAAGGGCAGGAGAGGCCGACCUCCUCACCCGCCUCCCAUCCGUCAAGCCUCCCCUCUUUGUAGACCCACACGACACGUGCCAGCGCUCAGGGCAGGCAGCCCAACGUCUGGAGGGAUCUGGGACAAGUUGUACCAUCCCAAGAACUGCAUUCAGAAUGAAGAGAAAGUGCAUUCCCUUGGCUGGAAUGUAGAUACUGCUGUUAGCAUCUGACACCUUUCCUGGACAGCCCACCUGCACAUAGCGUCCCAUUCCCCCACUUCACCCCAUUCUCUGAGCGGGAGGGGACUUGUGCAGAGAGAGCAAUUUUAAUUAAUUUGUAUUUAUUUUUAUACUUCUAGCUCAUAACACGGUUUUACGUUUAUCCUCCCAACAACCUCAGCCUGAUUUAGACAUUAUGAUGUCUGUACACGCGUUCAUGUGUUUGUGUGAAUGACUGUACCUGGGUUCACUUUAAAAAUGAACCUGGAUACAGACCCUUCAAACGCACGAUACAGAUAGGAAGGGUAUGGCUGUACCUGCACUCAGCGUAGCAUGUGAAUGACUGUACCUGUGUGCAGAUCUGUUGUACGAGUGUUGAGCAUAACGUGUGAAUGGGACUCCUGAGAGGUAGGUUAGGCUGAGAGAGAAGUGGCUGACCCAGUGUCAGUUUCAUGGCUGAACUGAGAUUUGAACUCGUGUCUCCCCAGUCCUAGUCUGACACUCUAGCUAUGACACUACCCUGGUUCUCAAUGGUUGCUUGUUAUAACUGUUUUAAGAUACAGGCUGAGCAGGUGGGAAACAAGGAAGCGUCCAGAAAGGCACUUUUAGUCCCAUAGCAUCAUCUGCUCCAUCAUCAUCAUCAUCAUCAUCAUCAUCAUCAUCAUCCGUUAUUUAUUGAGUGCCUAGAAUGCAUGAGGUGCAGUACAGAAAUAAAUUUUAA